GACGAACGCUGGCGGCGUGCUUAACACAUGCAAGUCGAACGGAAAGGCCCUGCUUUUGUGGGGUGCUCGAGUGGCGAACGGGUGAGUAACACGUGAGUAACCUGCCCUUGACUUUGGGAUAACUUCAGGAAACUGGGGCUAAUACCGGAUAGGAGCUCCUGCUGCAUGGUGGGGGUUGGAAAGUUUCGGCGGUUGGGGAUGGACUCGCGGCUUAUCAGCUUGUUGGUGGGGUAGUGGCUUACCAAGGCUUUGACGGGUAGCCGGCCUGAGAGGGUGACCGGCCACAUUGGGACUGAGAUACAGCCCAGACUCCUACGGGAGGCAGCAGUGGGGAAUAUUGCACAAUGGGCGGAAGCCUGAUGCAGCAACGCCGCGUGCGGGAUGACGGCCUUCGGGUUGUAAACCGCUUUCGCCGGUGACGAAGCGUGAGUGACGGUAAUGGGUAAAGAGGCACCGGCUAACUACGUG
rnacentral:rRNA from 1 species